GCGAUGACGUCACCCAUCGUGCUCUUUCAACACGAGACCGAAACGUGCUUCUUUCUUUCUGUUCGAGUUCGCUAAGGUGUCGGUGUUCGGCUCUCUGUGGUGGCGAAUACAUUUCUGUAAACUGCCACAAUGAGCUCAAGCAAAUAUACAGCAGAAACACCAAAGGCGGAUGAGCGCCUCUGCACAGCUGCCCUGAAGAGAACAUCGGCUCUACAUAGUUUGCAGCUUGUCCUGGAAGGUGACUGAGCCAUGUGCAGCAGUUCUUGCUCUGCUGUGACAUCACUGAGGAAUUUGGAGCACUUCAUCUGAACAACUUUCAAGGUGAAGAGGAUGUGGGAUAUUCAUCUACUUAGUCCUGAGGUUGAAAGGCGGUUUGCCCAACUACUGUGAAAAUAAGCAAACAUCCAUAUGUAUCUCCAGUGAUGGCCUGGAGAUGAAAAAGUAAUACUGGAACAUCAGGUUUACUUCCUGCUGGAUGCCAUUUCUCAUGCAUGCAAUGGGGCUAGUGACUAAACAGUCAAGUUUGAUUCCCAAGGAGUGACUAAUGCUAUAUAGUUAAAUUAACUGGUCAGCUUUACUAGUGCUUUAGUUGUGUGCUGAUGAAGCCAAAGAAAGCAUGUUGUGUUUAAAUUGGUUGUGUAUAUAUAUUUGUUUUACUGGGGGUAACUACACUGUAUAGUAUAUGAAGGAAAUAAUGACUGCAUUAAAGAUGGUUUAACAGUCUGAACAUA